rnacentral:rRNA from 1 species
GCAUAUCAAAAAGCGGAGGAAAAGAAACCAACAGGGAUUGCCUUAGUAGCGGCGAGUGAAGCGGCAAAAGCUCAAAUUUGAAAUCUGGCACUUUCAGUGUCCGAGUUGUAAUUUGAAGAAGGUAUCUUUGGGUCUGGCUCUUGUCUAUGUUUCUUGGAACAGAACGUCACAGAGGGUGAGAAUCCCGUGCGAUGAGAUGUCCCAGACCUAUGUAAAGUUCCUUCGAAGAGUCGAGUUGUUUGGGAAUGCAGCUCUAAGUGGGUGGUAAAUUCCAUCUAAAGCUAAAUAUUGGCGAGAGACCGAUAGCGAACAAGUACAGUGAUGGAAAGAUGAAAAGAACUUUGAAAAGAGAGUGAAAAAGUACGUGAAAUUGUUGAAAGGGAAGGGCUUGAGAUCAGACUUGGUAUUUUGUAUGUUACUCUCUCGGGGGUGGCCUCUACAGUUUACCGGGCCAGCAUCAGUUUGAGCGGUAGGAUAAGUGCAAAGAAAUGUGGCACUGCUUCGGUAGUGUGUUAUAGUCUUUGUCGAUACUGCCAGCUUAGACUGAGGACUGCGGC